rnacentral:rRNA from 1 species
UGCCCACUGAUUAAAUAAUUAAAGGGCUGCAGUAAUUUGACUGUACAAAGGUAGCAUAAUCAUUAGUCAUUUAAUUGAUGACUUGUAUGAAAGAUUGGAUGAAAUAUAAACUGUCUUAAAAUUAAUAAUUGAAUUUAAUUUUUUAGUUAAAAAGCUAAAUUUAAUUAAAAAGACGAGAAGACCCUAUAGAGUUUAAUUUUUAUUUUAAUUAAUUUUAUUUAUUAUUAUUUUUAAUGUUGUUUAANAUAAAAAUUUUAUUGGGGUGAUAGAAAAAUUAAAAAAACUUUUUUUUUUGUAUUUACAUAUAUAAAUGAUUUUUUGAUCCAAUAUUAUUGAUUAUAAGAAAAAAUUACCUUAGGGAUAACAGCGUAAUUUUGUUUUUUAGUUCUUAUAAAAAAUAGAGUUUGCGACCUCGAUGUUGGAUUAAGAUAAAAUUUAAAUGCAGAAGUUUAAAAUUUUGA